UACAGAGGUGGCAAGCGUUGUUCGGAAUUACUGGGCGUAAAGGGCGCGUAGGCGGCGUGUCAAGUCAGGCGUGAAAGCCCCGGGCUCAACCUGGGAACCGCGCUUGAGACUGGCAUGCUCGAGUUCGGGAGAGGAUGGUGGAAUUCCCAGUGUAGAGGUGAAAUUCGUAGAUAUUGGGAAGAACACCGAUGGCGAAGGCAGCCAUCUGGACCGACACUGACGCUGAGGCGCGAAAGCGUGGGGAGCGAACAGG
rnacentral:rRNA from 1 species